GGCCGCAUCGCGUUAAAAUAUUGGUUCCUGUAUGAUCACUGAAGUUAAUCAACGUCGAGCCUGGUCAGUAUCUAGAUGGGUUACCGCUUGAGAAUACCAGGUGCCGUAAG